AGGUAUCGUCGGAGGUGCCACGUCAAGGAACAAGACCUGCCACGACCUAAAACACUGGCCAAGAUCUUCCUUAGGACCAAGAAGAGGCUGCCUUCGUCAACUCGCAGUCACGACAUAAACAGGGGAUUGACAGACAAGACAAGGAAGUGGCACGCAGAUCUUAUUGAUGAAAGCUUGCAAGCUGGUCUGGAACUUCAAUCAAGUGGGAAGGAAGGUAACC